CAAAAAGUAAAGCCCGUCUCCGGAUGGGCCCAUACUUCAACCCUUUGUUGUCCGACCGCGUUGCCUCCGGGGCGACCCUGACCUUCGGGUCGAGGGGGACCCCGGGUGGACACCCAAACUCUGCGUAACUUUGCAGUCUGAGUAAACAAGUUUAAUAAACUA
rnacentral:misc_RNA from 1 species